GGUAUUUUGGGAUAUCAAGUUGACGGACGGAGAUCUCAAACUGCAUUAUAAUGAAAAAAAAAUGCAAUUUGAAACCACCGUCCAUCAACGUGAUGUCCCUAAAUAUCCUGUUUGUAGCUACAACGGAUAUAGGUUACCCCGCGAAUAAAGGUGAACUAGCGUUAUACAGUGUCUCUUAUAUGUAUACAAUCAAAUGUAACUAAUGGUUGCUAUUCAAUCACAAUGCUAGUUCACCUUCAAUGUAGGGUAACCUAUAUAUUAAAAAUAUAUAUAUUCAAAACAGUGUAUUAAGGGAUGUCAAGUCGAUGUUGGAUUUAUAAACUGCAAGUAUUUUGCAAAUAUUGUAAUUUAAAAGCAACGUCCAUCCACUUGAUAUCCCUAAAUACCGUGUUUCAUAAUAUCACAUUUUUAACAUAACCUUUUGAUAUCAUAUUCAACAAAAAAAGAACUGUACAAAAACUGUACACAUUCGAAAAUGUUGACAUCCACACAGUACCUGUAAGAGUUUUUAUGAUACAGAAAAAAAUCGAAAGUUUACUAAUAAUAAGAGGGUUUGUAAACAACAUCACCUACCCACAUGCACAUCCGAGUCUUAGAAUGGUAUCUGCUUUAGAUUAUCAAUUUCUCAAAACAUGUCAAUCUCAUACUAAAUCUGAACCAAAAUAAAAGACUGCACAUCAUUCAACAGGGAUGUGUAUUGGUACUUGCAGUUACAGUAUCGAGAAUAUCAGGUACAGAUCACAAAAUACUGGAUGUGAACAGACCAACAAUCAAGUAUUAUAUUUGUAACAUAUUCUGGUACUAAGAGCAUGUUACUUACUCCUACCACAAAGAUCAAAAUUUACCACUGGAAAAGGAUGAAAACAUUUGUUUAGCCAUUGAAAUCAACACCACCUUUGUUUAUAGGGAUUCCCUAGAAAGCACACGUUUCCGAAUGAGAUACUAAAUAACAUUCUGUUCACUUUUUAACCAUGUAUCUGUCCUCGAUGAAAAAUGUUUACUUUGUCAAGUUUUCAGAUAGACAGGCCGCUAUAGACAGGUUUGACUUCCUUGUAUACUUACCCCCC